rnacentral:rRNA from 1 species
UAGCGGCGGACGGGUGAGUAACGCGUGGGAACAUACCCAGAGGUACGGAACAACAGUUGGAAACGACUGCUAAUACCGUAUGUGCCCUUCGGGGGAAAGAAUUUCGCCUUUGGAUUGGCCCGCGUUGGAUUAGAUAGUUGGUGGGGUAAUGGCCUACCAAGUCUACGAUCCAUAGCUGGUUUGAGAGGAUGAUCAGCCACACUGGGACUGAGACACGGCCCAGACUCC